rnacentral:rRNA from 1 species
AGCGUACACGGUGGAUGCCCUGGCAGUCAGAGGCGAUGAAGGACGUGCUAAUCUGCGAAAAGCGUCGGUAAGGUGAUAUGAACCGUUAUAACCGGCGAUGUCCGAAUGGGGAAACCCAGUGUGAUUCGUCACACUAUCGUUAACUGAAUACAUAGGUUAACGAGGCGAACCGGGGGAACUGAAACAUCUAAGUACCCCGAGGAAAAGAAAUCAACCGAGAUUCCCCCAGUAGCGGCGAGCGAACGGGGAGCAGCCCAGAGUCUGAAUCAGCUUGUGUGUUAGUGGAACGGUCUGGAAAGUCCGACGGUACAGGGUGAUAGUCCCGUACACCAAAAUGCACAGGCUGUGAACUCGAAGAGUAGGGCGGGACACGUGGUAUCCUGUCUGAAUAUGGGGGGACCAUCCUCCAAGGCUAAAUACUCCUGACUGACCGAUAGUGAACCAGUACCGUGAGGGAAAGGCGAAAAGAACCCCGGCGAGGGGAGUGAAAAAGAACCUGAAACCGUGUACGUACAAGCAGUGGGAGCACCUUCGGGUGUGACUGCGUACCUUUUGUAUAAUGGGUCAGCGACUUAUAUUCUGUAGCAAGGUUAACCGUAUAGGGGAGCCGCAGGGAAACCGAGUCUUAACUGGGCGUUAAGUUGCAGGGUAUAGACCCGAAACCCGGUGAUCUAGCCAUGGGCAGGUUGAAGGUUGGGUAACACUAACUGGAGGACCGAACCGACUAAUGUUGAAAAAUUAGCGGAUGACUUGUGGCUGGGGGUGAAAGGCCAAUCAAACCGGGAGAUAGCUGGUUCUCCCCGAAAGCUAUUUAGGUAGCGCCUCGUGAAUUCAUCUUCGGGGGUAGAGCACUGUUUCGGCUAGGGGGUCAUCCCGACUUACCAACCCGAUGCAAACUACGAAUACCGAAGAAUGUUAUCACGGGAGACACACGGCGGGUGCUAACGUCCGUCGUGAAGAGGGAAACAACCCAGACCGCCAGCUAAGGUCCCAAAGUCAUGGUUAAGUGGGAAACGAUGUGGGAAGGCACAGACAGCCAGGAUGUUGGCUUAGAAGCAGCCAUCAUUUAAAGAAAGCGUAAUAGCUCACUGGUCGAGUCGGCCUGCGCGGAAGAUGUAACGGGGCUAAACCAUGCACCGAAGCUGCGGCAGCGACACUAUGUGUUGUUGGGUAGGGGAGCGUUCUGUAAGCCUGCGAAGGUGACCUGUGAGGGUUGCUGGAGGUAUCAGAAGUGCGAAUGCUGACAUAAGUAACGAUAAAGCGGGUGAAAAGCCCGCUCGCCGGAAGACCAAGGGUUCCUGUCCAACGUUAAUCGGGGCAGGGUGAGUCGACCCCUAAGGCGAGGCCGAAAGGCGUAGUCGAUGGGAAACAGGUUAAUAUUCCUGUACUUGGUGUUACUGCGAAGGGGGGACGGAGAAGGCUAUGUUAGCCGGGCGACGGUUGUCCCGGUUUAAGCAUGUAGGCUGGUUGUCCAGGCAAAUCCGGAUAAUCAAGGCUGAGGUGUGAUGACGAGGCACUACGGUGCUGAAGUAACAAAUGCCCUGCUUCCAGGAAAAGCCUCUAAGCAUCAGGUAACAUCAAAUCGUACCCCAAACCGACACAGGUGGUCAGGUAGAGAAUACCAAGGCGCUUGAGAGAACUCGGGUGAAGGAACUAGGCAAAAUGGUGCCGUAACUUCGGGAGAAGGCACGCUGGUGUGUAGGUGAAGCCCCUGCGGGUGGAGCUGAGACCAGUCGAAGAUACCAGCUGGCUGCAACUGUUUAUUAAAAACACAGCACUGUGCAAACACGAAAGUGGACGUAUACGGUGUGACGCCUGCCCGGUGCCGGAAGGUUAAUUGAUGGGGUUAUCCGUAAGGAGAAGCUCUUGAUCGAAGCCCCGGUAAACGGCGGCCGUAACUAUAACGGUCCUAAGGUAGCGAAAUUCCUUGUCGGGUAAGUUCCGACCUGCACGAAUGGCGUAAUGAUGGCCAGGCUGUCUCCACCCGAGACUCAGUGAAAUUGAACUCGCUGUGAAGAUGCAGUGUACCCGCGGCAAGACGGAAAGACCCCGUGAACCUUUACUAUAGCUUGACACUGAACAUUGAGCCUUGAUGUGUAGGAUAGGUGGGAGGCUUUGAAGCGUGGACGCCAGUCUGCGUGGAGCCAACCUUGAAAUACCACCCUUUAAUGUUUGAUGUUCUAACGUUGGCCCCUUAUCGGGGUUGCGGACAGUGUCUGGUGGGUAGUUUGACUGGGGCGGUCUCCUCCCAAAGCGUAACGGAGGAGCACGAAGGUUAGCUAAUCCUGGUCGGACAUCAGGAGGUUAGUGCAAUGGCAUAAGCUAGCUUGACUGCGAGCGUGACGGCGCGAGCAGGUGCGAAAGCAGGUCAUAGUGAUCCGGUGGUUCUGAAUGGAAGGGCCAUCGCUCAACGGAUAAAAGGUACUCCGGGGAUAACAGGCUGAUACCGCCCAAGAGUUCAUAUCGACGGCGGUGUUUGGCACCUCGAUGUCGGCUCAUCACAUCCUGGGGCUGAAGUAGGUCCCAAGGGUAUGGCUGUUCGCCAUUUAAAGUGGUACGCGAGCUGGGUUUAGAACGUCGUGAGACAGUUCGGUCCCUAUCUGCCGUGGGCGCUGGAGAAUUGAGGGGGGCUGCUCCUAGUACGAGAGGACCGGAGUGGACGCAUCACUGGUGUUCGGGUUGUCAUGCCAAUGGCACUGCCCGGUAGCUAAAUGCGGAAGAGAUAAGUGCUGAAAGCAUCUAAGCACGAAACUUGCCCCGAGAUGAGUUCU